GGAUGAACGCUGGCGGCGUGCCUAAUACAUGCAAGUCGAGCGAACGGCCGAGAAGCUUGCUUCUCUGAUGUUAGCGGCGGACGGGUGAGUAACACGUGGAUAACCUACCUAUAAGACUGGGAUAACUUCGGGAAACCGGAGCUAAUACCGGAUGAUAUUUUGAACCGCAUGGUUCAAAAGUGAAAGACGGUCUUGCUGUCACUUAUAGAUGGAUCCGCGCUGCAUUAGCUAGUUGGUAAGGUAACGGCUUACCAAGGCAACGAUGCGUAGCCGACCUGAGAGGGUGAUCGGCCACACUGGAACUGAGACACGGUCCAGACUCCUACGGGAGGCAGCAGUAGGGAAUCUUCCGCAAUGGGCGAAAGCCUGACGGGGCAACGCCGCGUGAGUGAUGAAGGUCUUCGGAUCGUAAAACUCUGUUAUUAGGGAAGAACAUAUGUGUAAGUAACUGUGCACAUCUUGACGGUACCUAAUCAGAAAGCCACGGCUAACUACGUG
rnacentral:rRNA from 1 species